CUUGAUUGUUAAAAACCUCAGAGUGGUUUACAAAGGGAAUAAAACAAUGAAAGCUGGAUGUUGGCAUUUCACCCAGCUGUUUCUUUUUCUCCUCAUUUCCCUUCAGGGAAAGAUGAUCCUUCAGAAACCUCAAUGGGAGCAGUUCAGGAACAGCAAAUUCAUUUGAGCCAUUGUCUUUCAUAUGAUUUUUAUAAAUCAAGAUUGCAUCAUGUCAGCAUUGUUGGGUGAUAGUGUAAAAUUAGCGUUGCUUAGUUUGAAUAGUGAAGAUGGAGUUAAUUUUUCUGCUAUUCAGUGAAUUAAAACCCAU